rnacentral:lncRNA from 1 species
UACUAGUUUUUAGUAUAUGUGCAUUGAUCAUAUACUUUAUUCAUAAAUAACUGCUGUUUGUCUACAAAGGUCUCCAUUUCCAAAGAUUGCUAUAAAAGAGUUAAUCUGCCUUCCAUCAUGUCAGCUGUCCAAGCCAUCCAAAGCGGCUGGCCUGCGGCAGAGGUGCACAGUUAAUAAAAGGAGAGCACACAGAUGCAGUAACUCUACACUAGAGGGCGCCGGAGGUUCACGCUGGGUGGGCAUUGCCUUUAAUCCCAUUCCAAAACCCAGCACACAUUCCCUGUCCCGCAGCUUUCCCUUCAGAGGUGAGUGUUGGUGCUUUUGCGGCCAGAUGAACAAUAUUAAAUUAAAUAAAUCCUCAGUUUAGUAGUUUAAAU